AUUGAACGCUGGCGGCAUGCCUUACACAUGCAAGUCGAACGGCAGCACGGGUGCUUGCACCUGGUGGCGAGUGGCGAACGGGUGAGUAAUACAUCGGAACGUACCUUAUCGUGGGGGAUAACGCAGCGAAAGCUGUGCUAAUACCGCAUACGCCCUGAGGGGGAAAGCGGGGGAUCGCAAGACCUCGCGCGAUUAGAGCGGCCGAUGCCUGAUUAGCUUGUUGGUGGGGUAAAAGCCCACCAAGGCGACAAUCAGUAGUUGGUCUGAGAGGACGAUCGGCCACACUGGGACUGAGACACGGCCCAGACUCCGACGGGAGGCAGCAGUGGGGAAUUUUGGACAAUGGGGGCAACCCUGAUCCAGCAAUGCCGCGUGAGUGAAGAAGGCCUUCGGGUUGUAAAGCUCUUUUGUCAGGGAAGAAACACCGGCUCUAACACAGUCCGGGAAUGACGGUACCUGAAGAAUAAGCACCGGCUAACUACGUGCCAGCCGCCGCCGUAA
rnacentral:rRNA from 1 species